CACUACGCUUCCUUCUCCUCACUCCAACAUUUUCCCCCAUUUUUUUUCUCAUCUUUAUUUCUUAUUAGUCGCAUAGUUCAUUGCGUGAGGUAACGUUCAAACUAUUGUUGAUUUUUCUCAAAUCCCAAACCACUAACUCUCUUUUUCUCAUGAUUGCAAAGGAAGUUUCACUUCAAAUCCCUAACCUUUCCCUAAUUGACUUGCGUUGUUAAGAGCAAAUAAAGUACACGUUGAGUUCUUAUCAUUAUAGUAUCUUUAUGCAUCGUUCACACCGAUUGUAGUUCUAGCUCACAACAUUCUCUAUUGGUUCUUUGUAUUUGACCUUAUUCCAUCGUAGAGCACCAUUGUAUUGAGUUAAAAAGUUGAAGUUGAAGACCCAUUAGAUUGGAAAUUGAAAGAGCUUAGGAGCAGAAGAAGCAUCAUUGCGCCGGGUGCAAACUACCCGUGCCAGGCUUGAGAAACACAGAGAGCAUCAGCUCUGCACUUCAGCAUUGCACCGAGCGCAAGAGCAUCCGCGCUGGGCGUGCUUGAAAAUAGAGAGCAUUCAAAACUCUCUGGAAGACAUUGUUCCGGGCACAGAAAUAUCCAUGCCGGGCGUGAUUCGAGACAAAGAGUAAUUACCUCUCUGGAAGACCCUGUGUCGGGCGCGAGGUAUAAUGCGUCAGGCGUGUAAACCCUAUCCUGUCCCACCCAGCUCGUAUUUGAUCAAAUCUUCGAGGUUCAUUCCCUCAUUCACACAUUGGGCGACUUCUAGGAGCUGUGGAAGGGAUUCCCAGUGCUUGGGACCGUUCGUGUGUGGGUCUUUCCUUCGGUUCUUCCAUCUUCUCUUCCAUCUCUAUUUUUGUUUCACCAUCAUUGUUUUGAGCGGUUUUGCCUAUUAUUUUGUGGGGUUAGAUGUAGCCAACUAAAUUUCUUAUGUAAU